UUUCCCUCUGCUUUUAUCUUCUUUUCACAAAAGAGGUCUCAAACAGUAGGUAAAAUCACCAGUCAGUGAUUCUUUGUCAAGCUUUUAUGGGUUUUACUUUCGGAAUAGGCUGGAAGAGGAGUUUCUGGCAGCACAGGAAGAAAAACAGAUUGAAAACUGUUGUGAACAUAUUAGAGCAAGAAAUGGGCGUGGGAUAAAUAACUGUCUUCCCUCUUCCCUGUGUUUUCAGGUGUGCAAGUGUUUGUGAUCAGAUAACACAAGAUCGGUGCUUAGAAAGAUGUUCAGGAGCUGAAACACUCAUAAAUCUCCUAAGGUUCUGAAAUCCUGCACGUUGAAACCACAGCUCUGUAACAUCAUUUAUUCCAAGAAGGAAAGAUAAACCCUUCUGUCAUUUAGGAAGACUCUGCUUGUUGUUGCAGCUUUGAGAGGUGUCUAGAGAUGCAGCCAAGCACCAAAACAGGACAGAAGCUGAGGCAGAGAUGUUCAUCAGGAUGUUUUCAUAGAAAUCAUUGUCUGUGAUGACUUCACGCUGUAAUUUAGCUGAUUUUAGUCAUGGAAUAAUUUAAAUGUUCCCAUUGGUCAGCUGUCUGUGGAGACAACAUCAAGAGCAUGUGAGGCUUUAUCAAAACACUGGACAGUGUUAUUUAUAAACUUCCCAGACCUAUAUUUUAUAAAUCUUAUAAAAAAAUUAGCUCUUAAAUUUACCCCUCUC